GCUAGUUGAUAUUCAGGUAUGGACAUUAGAUGGACACGCUACUAUCCCUUGAUCCCCCAGCUCCAAUUAAUUUUGAAAGAGCAAGUGUAAAGCAACUCCAUUUAGGAUGUGACAUCAUUCUCCUCUUACUCCUCUCCAUGAUCCCUUGUUCCCCGAACUGGCUGAGUCACAGGGGUCUAGGUGCUUGUUGCCUGAAUGGCUUGCCCCAGUUGGCAUUCAUAGGGGUUUGAAUUCAAG